CCUGGUUUGUGUUGCAGGUCCCACGUCCGAGCCCAGACUCUCAGGGAGACCCAGGCCCUUGUCUUUAACCGGCUCCCAGGUGACCCGUGUGGGUCCCACAGCGAGAGAAGCAGCGUGCUGGUGGGAGCGGACUGUGGCUGGCAGUUGAAGCGCCCAGCACCCGCUCACCCACCCACCCGCUCACUCAACAGCCUCUCUCGUGGGGACUCGCUGGCGCAGGGGCCUGUGGCCACUGGUCCAUGAACGCAAGAUGCGGAGUGAAGCCUUGGAAGGCCUGGAAAGCCUAGAGGCUGUGUCUGCGCAGGAGACCGUUCUGAACGCCAAGUGCUGCCGCGUCAGCUG
rnacentral:lncRNA from 12 species